rnacentral:rRNA from 1 species
GACGAACGCUGGCGGCGUGCUUAAUACAUGCAAGUCGAGCGAGGUCCAUCUGGUGGCAACACCAGUGAAGGCCGAGCGGCGAACGGGUGAGUAACACGUGAGCAACCUGCCCCGAAGUCUGGAAUAACAUCGGGAAACCGGUGCUAAUACCGGAUCGCCCCACCUGACCGCAUGAUCGGGUGAGGAAAGAUUUAUCGCUUCGGGAGGGGCUCGCGGCCUAUCAGCUAGUUGGUGGGGUAACGGCCUACCAAGGCAUCGACGGGUAGCUGGUCUGAGAGGACGACCAGCCACACUGGGACUGAGACACGGCCCAGACUCCUACGGGAGGCAGCAGUAGGGAAUCUUGCGCAAUGGGCGAAAGCCU